GAAAAGGAGCAAUCCGCUUUGAGAUGGCCUCGCGUCCGAUUAGCUGGUUGGUGAGGUAACGGCCCACCAAGGCAACGAUCGGUAGCCGGACUGAGAGGUUGAACGGCCACAUUGGGACUGAGACACGGCCCAGACUCCUACGGGAGGCAGCAGUGGGGAAUAUUGCACAAUGGGGGAAACCCUGAUGCAGCGACGCCGCGUGGAGGAAGAAGGUCUUCGGAUUGUAAACUCCUGUUGUUGAGGAAGAUAAUGACGGUACUCAACAAGGAAGUGACGGCUAACUACGUGCCAGCAGCCGCGGUAAAACGUAGGUCACAAGCGUUGUCCGGAAUUACUGGGUGUAAAGGGAGCGCAGGCGGGAAGACAAGUUGGAAGUGAAAUCCAUGGGCUCAACCCAUGAACUGCUUUCAAAACUGUUUUUCUUGAGUAGUGCAGAGGUAGGCGGAAUUCCCGGUGUAGCGGUGGAAUGCGUAGAUAUCGGGAGGAACACCAGUGGCGAAGGCGGCCUACUGGGCACCAACUGACGCUGAGGCUCGAAAGUGUGGGUAGCAA
rnacentral:rRNA from 1 species